UACGUAGGGUCCAAGCGUUAUCCGGAAUCACUGGGCGUAAAGCGUGCGUAGGUGGCGUGUUAAGUGUGAUGUUAAAUCGUGUGGCUCAACCAUAUCGAUGUGUCGCAUACUGGCAUGCUAGAGGGAAGCAGAGGCAAGUGGAAUUUGUAGUGUAGCAGUGAAAUGCGUAGAUAUUACAAGGAACACCAAUGGCGAAGGCAGCUUGCUGGGCUGUAACUGACGCUCAGGCACGAAAGCGUGGGGAGCAAACAGG
rnacentral:rRNA from 1 species